GUAACAGCCGUCUCCACACCUGGACACAGCCCGGCUGCCAUCCGUGAAGGGAGCAGUGACAGUGUCGUGAACCAAGGAUCAUGAUUCUGCCCAGCUGUGUGCACCCAAAGCAAGACUGAAGUAAGAAGGACCAAGAGGAGCGCCUAAUACAGUUCUGUGCAAACUCCACUGCCAAGUUCACAUGGAGAAACAAAUACCCUCCCUUCAGUGGCGCGCUAACUAUCUAUGACGAACUCUACUCCACUCCGAUGGGGUGUUUAAGAAUGAGAGCAAGUUUCUUCAGUGUUGUCAGCCCCUAUCUCUCCCAUGGCCUGCCCUCAUCUCACCUCUCACCCCUCCAAAUCAAGGCAUGUCUGAGCUCGGUCUGCCCAGGACUGUUGAUGAGCUUUCGCUUCUGCUUUGUUUCUGAACUAACACGUGUUCUUCAGAACGGCUCGCACGGCCCCAUGGGAUUAUGACAGCUCUCAGCCGAGCUCUGCCAGCUAUUAAUAGAAAUACUAUGAGG
rnacentral:lncRNA from 1 species